UAGGGAAUCUUCGGCAAUGGACGAAAGUCUGACCGAGCAACGCCGCGUGAGUGAAGAAGGUUUUCGGAUCGUAAAACUCUGUUGUUAGAGAAGAACAAGGACGUUAGUAACUGAACGUCCCCUGACGGUAUCUAACCAGAAAGCCACGGCUAACUACGUGCCAGAAGCCGCGGUAAUACGUAGGUGGCAAGCGUUGUCCGGAUUUAUUGGGCGUAAAGCGAGCGCAGGCGGUUUCUUAAGUCUGAUGUGAAAGCCCCCGACUCAACCGGGGAGGGUCAUUGGAAACUGGGAGACUUGAGUGCAGAAGAGGAGAGUGGAAUUCCAUGUGUAGCGGUGAAAUGCGUAGAUAUAUGGAGGAACACCAGUGGCGAAGGCGGCUCUCUGGUCUGUAACUGACGCUGAGGCUCGAAAGCGUGGGGAGCAAACAGG
rnacentral:rRNA from 1 species